ACGGGUGUAGCUCAGCUGGUAGAGCGGCGGUCUCCAAAACCGUAGGUCGAGGGUUCGAAUCCUUCCGCCCGUG
rnacentral:tRNA from 1 species